GAUGAACGCUGGCGGCGUGCCUAAUACAUGCAAGUCGAGCGAACGGACGAGAAGCUUGCUUCUCUGAUGUUAGCGGCGGACGGGUGAGUAACACGUGGAUAACCUACCUAUAAGACUGGGAUAACUUCGGGAAACCGGAGCUAAUACCGGAUAAUAUUUUGAACCGCAUGGUUCAAAAGUGAAAGACGGUCUUGCUGUCACUUAUAGAUGGAUCCGCGCUGCAUUAGCUAGUUGGUAAGGUAACGGCUUACCAAGGCAACGAUGCAUAGCCGACCUGAGAGGGUGUAGGGCCACACUGGAACUGAGACACGGUCCAGACUCCUACGGGAGGCAGCAGUAGGGAAUCUUCGGCGAUGGGCGAAAGCCUGACGGAGCAACGCCGCGUGAGUGAUGAAGGUCUUCGGAUCGUAAAACUCUGUUAUUAGGGAAGAACACAUGUGUAAGUAACGGUGCACAUCUUGACGGUACCUAAUCAGAAAGCCACGGCUAACUACGUG
rnacentral:rRNA from 1 species